rnacentral:rRNA from 1 species
ACGAACGCUGGCGGCGUGCUUAACACAUGCAAGUCGAACGGAAAGGCCCUGCUUUUGUGGGGUGCUCGAGUGGCGAACGGGUGAGUAACACGUGAGUAACCUGCCCUUGACUUUGGGAUAACUUCAGGAAACUGGGGCUAAUACCGGAUAGGAGCUCCUGCUGCAUGGUGGGGGUUGGAAAGUUUCGGCGGUUGGGGAUGGACUCGCGGCUUAUCAGCUUGUUGGUGGGGUAGUGGCUUACCAAGGCUUUGACGGGUAGCCGGCCUGAGAGGGUGACCGGCCACAUUGGGACUGAGAUACGGCCCAGACUCCUACGGGAGGCAGCAGUGGGGAAUAUUGCACAAUGGGCGGAAGCCUGAUGCAGCAACGCCGUGUGCGGGAUGACGGCCUUCGGGUUGUAAACCGCUUUCGCCUGUGACGAAGCGUGAGUGACGGUAAUGGGUAAAGAAGCACCGGCUAACUACGU